UACGGAGGGGGCUAGCGUUGUCCGGAAUUACUGGGCGUAAAGCGCGCGUAGGUGGUCCACCAAGUCGGGGGUGAAAUCCUGGAGCUCAACUCCAGAACUGCCUUUGAUACUGAAGAUCUUGAGUUCGGGAGAGGUGAGUGGAACUGCGAGUGUAGAGGUGAAAUUCGUAGAUAUUCGCAAGAACACCAGUGGCGAAGGCGGCUCACUGGCCCGAUACUGACGCUGAGGCACGAAAGCGUGGGGAGCAAACAGG
rnacentral:rRNA from 1 species